rnacentral:rRNA from 1 species
AGUCGAACGGCAGCACGGGAGCAGUCCUGGUGGCGAGUGGCGAACGGGUGUGUAAUAUAUCGGAACGUGCCCAGUCGUGGGGGAUAACGCAGCGAAAGCUGUGCUAAUACCGCAUACGAUCUCUGGAUGAAAGCGGGGGACUCGUAAGAGCCUCGCGCGAUUGGAGCGGCCGAUAUCAGAUUAGCUAGUUGGUGGGGUAAAGGCCCACCAAGGCGACGAUCUGUAGCUGGUCUGAGAGGACGACCAGCCACACUGGAACUGAGACACGGUCCAGACUCCUACGGGAGGCAGCAGUGGGGAAUUUUGGACAAUGGGCGCAAGCCCGAUCCAGCAAUGCCGCGUGCAGGAUGAAGGCCUUCGGGUUGUAAACUGCUUUUGUACGGAACGAAAAGGUUUGCCUUAAUACGGUGGGCCCAUGACGGUACCGUAAGAAUAAGCACCGGCUAACUACGUGCCAGCAGCCGCGGUAAUACGUAGGGUGCGAGCGUUAAUCGGAAUUACUGGGCGUAAAGCGUGCGCAGGCGGUUAUAUAAGACAGAUGUNGAAUCCCCGGGCUCAACCUGGGACCUGCAUUUGUGACUGUAUAGCUAGAGUACGGU